UACGUAGGGUGCGAGCGUUAAUCGGAAUUACUGGGCGUAAAGUGUGCGCAGGUGGCUGAGCAAGUCGAGUGUGAAAUCCCCGGGCUUAGCUUGGGAAUUGCGCUCGAAACUACUUGGCUCGAGUGUGGCAGAGGAAGGUGGAAUUCCAGGUGUAGCGGUGAAAUGCGUAGAGAUCUGGAGGAACACCGAUGGCGAAGGCAGCCUUCUGGGCCAACACUGACGCUCAUGCACGAAAGCGUGGGGAGCAAACAGG
rnacentral:rRNA from 1 species